rnacentral:rRNA from 1 species
AUGGCGGCCGCGCCCGCUCAAGUUCUUCCGCCGGCCAAGAGGUGGAAGAAGGACCCCAAUUUCCUGGAAACCUCACCGGUCCAUCCGGCCAAUGCGGUGACCGCAGACUGGCCCUCGCUCCCGCCCGACAUCGUCCGCCACAUCGCCGACUCCUUCCUCGCCACCAACGACCUAGAUUGGUACGUGGACCUGCGCGCCGUCUGCCACAACUGGCGCUCCGCCACCGACGACCCCAAGGACAGCACCUCGGACCCCCGGUUCCUGCUUCGCCGGUGGAUUAUCCUCGACGAGGUCUUCCAGAGUGACAUGCGCCGCCUCUUGGUCAACACCGCCACUGGCCGGUUCCUCCACAAGGAGCUCCACGCGCUCCGCCACUACCACGUGGUCGCCACCACUCUCUGCGGCCUCUUCGUCCUGGCCGACAGGAGCCCUCCUCACGCCGCUCGUGUCUUCAACCCUCUCACCGGCGAUAUCAUCCGUUUCGCGGUGCCCGUGCCGCCCGAGGUGCAGGUCACCGCCGCCGUCUGCUUUGACUUCUCUUCGCCCUUGCUCUCCUUGUUCUUCGACUCAUGUUGCAAGAUGCACAUAGCCAGUCCUCACAGUUCUGACGCCCAAGUCUAUGACUUUGACCCUUCAGUUUACAGUUUCUUUCGUAGGGCGGUCGGAGGUGGUUUGGUCGGCCGUUGGUGGGAAUUUGCCGGAACAACUGACUUGGCUCUCAAGAUCUGCAAAGUGGGGCAGUCGCUUGGCGUCAAUCUGUCGAAGUUUUUUUCUGGUGCCCGGUGUUUACCAAUGGAAUUUGUUGGACAGAUGCUGAUCAUCAUCAAGGGACAACAAUUCUUCCAUGUCUUAAGAUUCAAAACCGAGAGCGCCGAGCUUUUGCAUGUGGAGACCAUCUGCAACCAUGCCAUCUUCAUUGGUCGUCAUAGGUGCCUUGCUGUGGAUGCUCACAUGUUUCCAUCCAUAGAGGCAAACUGUAUCUACUACACUGAACACCAGGGCUCGUCUGCCCACAUCUGGAAGUACAACAUCAAGGACCGAAAAGCAGACAGGAUCUCAGAAGCUGUCGAUUUUGUGAAGCAGGACAAGCAGUUUGUCCUGAUCGGCGACCGUCCUUCCACGAUCAUCCAGCUUCUGUCGAGCUACACCAUCAGCACCCGGGAUUCUGAAAUGGCUGGCGCCGUUAAACUUGAUGAUUGA